GUACAAAAGGGUGCACUGGCAACUCUUCCUCAUUCUUUAUUUUCCGAGCGGCCAGAGGGAGCAGGCUGCUGAGCUGGUCGGAGGCAGAGGAGAGACUGAGGCGCCGGGCUGCGCGGCGCUGCCCGUCAAGCGGAGUUCUAUGAAAUGGGAAUUUGAUCAAUAGCCCUACUACAGGCAAAGCAACGGCAGGAAUGACUUUAUAAAAAUGAUAAGAAGGAGCUCUGUGAAGUCUUUUGCCCAAGAUACAAAAUCAUUUUCUUACUCCAUCUUUCCUGCAAUACAUUAAUGACGAAACUCCAUGAGACUGAAGAUCCCAGCUGGAACUUCGACGGACACUUAGACCAGGUUUCGGCCGGUUCUUUUGCGUUCGGCUUUUGCUCCAGUGCAAAAUUCUCAUGGUAGCUGGUUAAAUUACAGUAUUCAGGACUGACGCUGUGACUUCUGCAAACUGGAAUCGCGUCACUGUGCUACAAGUAAUUUGUUUGGAUUAGUCGGCCUGGUCCAGUAUUGUUUUGGUCCAGAAAGCAGGAGGACACCAGUUUGUAACCUGGAAACAGGAGGAUCAAGACCCUUAGAUCCCCCUGCCGUCAUCUUAAGAAAUGCACUGAAGCUGACUUUCCCCAGGAAAAUACAUGUCUGAAUAUUUCACAAGAUAAAUGUAAGUUGCCUUGAGAAAAAAAAGAACAUCAGGGAGCUAAAUAAAUUGCUUUGGAUGUUCACCCUGCCGCUGUGCACCUACGCUGUGUCUGGGAAAGGCUGUCUGCAGUCUCUCCUAGCUGUGCCAGAAUGUGCCCAUUCAGCGUGGAACUGGCCAUGGAAUGAGUUUCCAAUGGAAACGAUGACUCUGGAUUUUUCUCAGCAGCCAUGGUGAGAAACCGUUGUCACGCAACUUGCUCUGAGGAAAGUGACCUUCUGCAACCCUGUGCAGGACAAUGAGGAAGUGCUGGUGUUUAUCUCAUUAAUGUUCAGCAUUCAUAACCCAAAACUCAAAAAUAAAGUCAAAUUUACUUCC